GAUGAACGCUGGCGGCGUGCCUAAUACAUGCAAGUCGAGCGAACAGACGAGGAGCUUGCUCCUCUGACGUUAGCGGCGGACGGGUGAGUAACACGUGGAUAACCUACCUAUAAGACUGGGAUAACUUCGGGAAACCGGAGCUAAUACCGGAUAAUAUAUUGAACCGCAUGGUUCAAUAGUGAAAGACGGUUUUGCUGUCACUUAUAGAUGGAUCCGCGCCGCAUUAGCUAGUUGGUAAGGUAACGGCUUACCAAGGCGACGAUGCGUAGCCGACCUGAGAGGGGGAUCGGCCACACUGGAACUGAGACACGGUCCAGACUCCUACGGGAGGCAGCAGUAGGGAAUCUUCCGCAAUGGGGGAAAGCCUGACGGAGCAACGCCGCGUGAGUGAUGAAGGUCUUCGGAUCGUAAAACUCUGUUAUUAGGGAAGAACAAAUGUGUAAGUAACUAUGCACGUCUUGACGGUACCUAAGCAGAAAGCCACGGCUAACUACGU
rnacentral:rRNA from 1 species